ACUAAGAGGGAGAAAAAGCAGAAGUCAGCAGGGUCCCAAGAAAUGGGGUAGCAGAGUCCAUGAAAUGCAAUUUCCUUCAAAUGUCACUUCCUCUGCUCCCCUCUCAACUUCCUUUUCAGAGUAGGGCUUCUCGGGACCCCUGGUGUUUUUGCCACAAGCACAUGAAAUGUUCUUUGGUGGGAAGAAAGGGGCCAGGGUGAGGGAUGAUAGGUUGAGGGCUAGAGAUAGGGUGUCCCUGAGUUUCUCCACAGGGAUUUGGUCAUUGUCCUCCAAAUCUUUGCUGAAGGAGAAAAAAAGCAGUUGUUACAACGCCUGAGAACAGAGUGCAGAGCUGAGGGGGGUCCCAGAAGGAAGAGGACUUCACUGCAUCCCUACCAUGUGCCAGAUGCCGUAUGCUUGCCUGCUCAUUUUAUUCUCAGGUGACCCUCUGACUAGCAGUUUCACUUGCACAUGAGGAAGCAGGCUGUGAGAAAGCCGUGGGGAUCCUCACGAAGGGGAUUCCCUAGCUGGGCCAAGAUUCGGACCCAUGUAUGUGACCUCUAAAGCCGCUUCUCUUCCCACGACAGCAUGCUUUUGAGAGCAAACAGCAUAGCUCCCUGAGGAGCAGCGGAGAACACCGCUGCCCAGAGAGGAAACGCUACUGGUUCCAGGCCUGCAACAGGGAUCAGGCCCAAAGGAACUGCCAGGAACCAAGCCUGGGACUGAGGUCUCAGUUCUUUGUACCACAUUCUUUCCAGCACUGUCACAGGGCCUGUGUUUCAGGUGUCCAUUCCCAGUCCAUUCUUGGUUCUGUCUACCCUACCCCCUGCCCCACAGAUAGGAGCCCCUUCUGGAGCUGAGACCACUCAAGGUUUGUUCUUUCUUUUAAGAAUUAAAAAAAAUUUUUUUGGUAGGAGAGAUCAUUAGGUUUAUUUAUUUAUUAUUACUUUGUUGUUGUUUUUUAAUGGAGGUACUGAGGAUUGAACCCAGAACCUCAUGCAUGCUAAGUAUUCUUAGCAUUCUACCACUGAGCUAGACCCUCCCCUGCUUCAUCUUUUUAACUUCUGCUGCCAUUCCACUACCUCCCCCAGUACAAAAUAGGAGUCUCCCCAAAUCCCCAAACUCUAUGCUUGUUUCAGUUCACAAAGUGCUUUUUAUAUAGAUCAUCCCUCCUGUUCUCAGCAGGGUUUGGUAGUUAGGUGCUCAGAUCAUGUGGUCAGACCCAUUUUCAGCCUUGCUAGCUGUGUGAUCUCAGGUAAACUACUUUAUCUCUCUGUGCCUCUUGUUUUCUCAACUGUUAAAAGAGCAAUCAUGCCCACCUCAGAGGGAUGUUGUGAGAGCUGGGUGGGGCAGUGCGUAUGAGGUGCCUGCCCCAGAGUCAGUGCCAAACGAGUGGAGGCUAACACACUAGCACUGUGAGUUAGUGGUGUUACCCGAGGUUCACUGGUGAGGAAACAUGCUCAGGGGAGUACAGGCCACAGAGUGAGUGAACUGGGAUGUGAACUUAGUGUUUCUGACUCUGAACUUUCUCCCUCAUGAUUCCAUUUGGUUCAGUUAAUUCACCAGCACUUUCUGCCUACCUUGGAGUGUGUGAGGUCCCUGCCCCCACAGAACCCCGUUCUAGCCACAGAGACCAAGCACAACUGAUUAAAACUACAUGUCCCCCCCCCUCCAAGCUACGUACAAUGUGCGGUGUGAAUACAGAAGAGGGGGACCGUCACUGCCCAGGAGGAGAUCUGAGCUGGCCCUUGCCCAUGAGCCUGAAAGGAGGAAGAACCUUCCAGGCAAAAGGAUGGGGGUGUCUGAAGUGCUGAGGUUCUGUACAACUGUAAGAGCAACGUGAUGCUGGACAAAAACGGCAGGACCUGAAUGAUCCCAGCAGGUGGCCCCUCCCUGCCCACUUGGGUUCUGUUGGUACCUUGAUGCCUUUCUCCUUGCUGCCCUGCUUCUUCUGCCCACUGAGGCCCUUACUUUUCGGAGGCCUGGGCGGGGGAGCUUGACUCUCGAAGGUAGGUAACUUCCGAAGGCGAUAGUAGAAGGCCUCCGUCAGCUCCUCCACUGUGGCUACGGGGAGGGACCCAGGCGGCUGGCUUGGCGGCUCCUCUUCCUCCGCAACAGUCAGGUCCAGCCACCGCGGAGGGAUCUCGAAGCACAUCCCUGGCUUGGAGUCCAGGCUGACCACCAAGAAGGGUUCCACGAUCUUCUCCUCCAGCCGCAGGCCCGGAAAGGAGGUCAGAGGGUCAGCAGGGUGGUUGGUGUCCUUGACCAUCACCUUGACCUCACAGGGCAGUGAGAACUGGACAGUCAGAUCCUGCAGGCUGUAGCGCCGGCCGUCGCUCAGCUCCUCCACGAAGCCGCCGGGAGUGUGGAGGGGCAGCAUAAUCUGUUCUUGGUGCUCGGCGUCCCCUUCGCACUCUUCUUCCCCUUCCUUCUCAGCCUCGUCACUCAGCCGCUGACACACCAAGACAUCUGUGUCCCUGUCUUCAGCCCCCAGGGCCUGGUCUGACCGCAAUACCUCCAGCCUGUCGCCCAUGGCUAGGGACGUGAACCCGGGGUUCUCCAACCCCUCGCCCUCAUAGUCCUUUGUGGCCACCACCCGGAGGGACUGGCCGGGCUUGAGGGCACCCAGGAGGUCAUAGGCCGUGGGGAACUCUCUGGGCCGCCGCCGCAGCUUGCCCUGGUAGGCCCCGGAGAUCAUAAAGUGUCUGGGCAUCUUCCGGCCCUUGGUGGAGGCCAGGAGCCGCCAGGAUGGUGAGGCCACGCCAUGGAUGCAGAGCCUCCGGCCUUUCUUUAAGGAGCCCACCCACGGGCUGAGGAAAAU